UUUUUAAUCUUGUAUAUGCUAAAGUUGAUUUAUCACGUGUAUGUUGGAUAAUAUCAAUUGUUUUUUUGUGUAUUUAAUGUUAAUUGUUGUCAAUUUGUAGGCAAAAUUGACAAAAAGCUUCAGUUAACGAUACCAGUUAGUUAUGCUAGUAUUAGCUAGUAUAACUAGCUAAGCUAACCAGGCUAACUAGCUUAAAUAAACGCUGUUAACUCAUUUUGCUCAAGUAACACACCUUUUUUUUAUUAAAAUAAACAACUUUAGUUAUUCUUAGAACCUUAAAUAGUUGUGUUUGGGCUUAAUUAUAAUAAAGCUCGUCAGACGUUUUCCUGCUCCACCUUGUAUAGGUUGCUGCAACAGUGAUUAAUAGUUAGGUUUACAAAACUUAUUGCCUCAUUUAGUUUAGUUUGUUCAUUAUUUGCAAAUAAGUUUUUGGAUAACUCAAUCUGGAUACAUAAAGUCUGAUGCAAAUCUGAUGUAUGGUGUAAUCAUUUACCCAUCAAAUCACCUAACAAGGAUCAGCCUGGAUCCUAACAGUACUUGAUGCACUGAGCAGUGACAUUAUACAUAGAGUAGUUAAGCAGGAUUUGGUAUCCGCAAAAUGGUUCGAGGUCCUCAGCCCUCGCCUCCCCCAGCACAGAGGAAAACUACCAAGGGCGGUACUCUCAUUAUAGGAGAUUCAAUUGUUAGACAUUUAAAAGUAUCUAAGAGUAAUGGCACAAUUUUAUGUCUUCCAGAUGCUUGCAUGCUGGUAGUCGGCAAGCGGCUCCCUGGGGCGCAUUGCCAAAGCAGGAACCCCGGCACCAUCGCCCUCCACGUGGGGAUGAGCUUUUGGGAGCGACCGGCCCCGUUCCACAGAGACAGGCUUCUCUCUGUGAACAUCGAGGCGGUGCUACGCUGAGACUGACUGUCUCUACCCAGUCACACCAGCCAAGCUGCACUGUAGUGGUGUUAAGUGUCCAAGAAUGCUCUCAUCAGUGGAGGCACAGCUGGCUGCAAAAAACGUCUGUGUCUGCAUGUUUAUAUUAUGUGAAUUAAAAAUGGUUUUAUUAUUAAAAUAAUUGUAUUAAU